UAUAGUAGAGUGUGUUAGGUGCACCAUUUUCCCAAUAGAGUUAAAGAAGGCAAAGCCUACUCUACCAAGCAGUUUGGCUGAAAAUUUGGCAUUCUUCAGGGUGAAAAUAGUAUUCUUUACCGUGACAUGAAAGAAGUAACCACAACCCCGUAAUUAAUCCAGCGCACAUUAUUCAGUCUGUAGAACAACUAGUUGGCAACAUAAUCUCAUAGUUGUGAAGGAUGGGAGGCUUGGUUUGCAUCAAGAUGAUAGUCAAAAAAUUUAAAUUAUGUGUCUUAUAAUAUCUUUCAAAACAUAGCUACAAGCCUACAACCAUUACAAAAGUUUUUUUUUUAAUUUGAAUUCAUCCUACAUUUACAAAAAAAAAAAAAAAGAAAUAAGCAUAUUCAAGUAAUGUGUUGCUUUUUUUUUUAACACAUCAAGUAAUGUGUCGCUUUAAUUUAUACGCUAUUUGGUGAAUAAAAGAAUAAUUCAGCUUGAAUUUUGCCCCACACAAAAACAUUUGUCAGUAUCAUGACAAAGACAGUAGCUUGAAUUUUCUCAAAACCCAAGGGAAGUAUGAGAAAAAUACAGCUUAAAUGUUGCUCUACAACAAAAACAGUUAAAAAUCAUGACAAUGAUUGUAGCUUGAAGUUUCUCAAAACUCAAGGGAAGCAUGAGAAUAAUACAGCUUGAGAAAUGCUCUACCCAAAUUUUUUUUAUCAAUAUCAUGACAAAGACAUUAGCUUGAGAAGUGCUCUACCCAAAAAAGUUAUCCAAUAAAAAAACUGUUAUGAUUGAUUGCAAACAUCUUUUUAUUUAUUUACACAUACAUAUAUUAUUUGAAAUCGCAAUUAUGCUCUUAUUCAUCAUACAAACCAAACACACAGAAAAUGACAUUAUUAAACACACGAGCAGUAUAGUAGUAGUUCGUAACUGUCUUGUCUCACAAGUCACAAACUAGACCCUCCCCAUGAUGCACCAAACUCACCAACACGAGCGGUCUUAUGCAGAGUUUACGCCAUAGAAAUAGAUGUCCUCAUAACGACCAUUGGUUGGAGCCUUCCCUCCAUACAUCAACAGUCCCUUUUUCCCAUCAAUGGACGCAGUCGUGGAUGCGAUCCAUCCACGAGGGCUAUGACCUUCCUCAAGUUUCUCCCAGACCAAACUCUCAGUGUCCAACACAAAA